GAGCUGGGUUUAGAACGUCGUGAGACAGUUCGGUCCCUAUCUGCCGUGGGCGCUGGAGAAUUGAGGGGGGCUGCUCCUAGUACGAGAGGACCGGAGUGGACGCAUCACUGGUGUUCGGGUUGUCAUGCCAAUGGCACUGCCCGGUAGCUAAAUGCGGAAGAGAUAAGUGCUGAAAGCAUCUAAGCACGAAACUUGCCCCGAGAUGAGUUCUCCCUGAGACUUUAAGUCUCCUGAAGGAACGUUGAAGACGACGACGUUGAUAGGCCGGGUGUGUAAGCGCAGCGAUGCGUUGAGCUAACCGGUACUAAUGAACCGUGAGGCUUAACCUUACAACGCCGAAG
rnacentral:rRNA from 1 species